AGUCAAGUAAUUAAGUGCAUGUGGUGGAUGCCUUGGCAGUCAGAGGCGAUGAAAGACGUGAUAGCCUGCGAAAAGCUCCGGGGAGGCGGCAAAUAUCCUUUGAUCCGGAGAUGUCUGAAUGGGGGAACCCACCUACUUUAAGGUAGGUAUUGCAACAUGAAUACAUAGUGUUGCAAGGCGAACGAGGGGAAGUGAAACAUCUCAGUACCCUUAGGAAAAGAAAUCAAUUGAGAUUCCCUCAGUAGCGGCGAGCGAACGGGGAUCAGCCCAUUAAGUUAUGUGUGUUUUAGUGGAACGCUCUGGGAAGUGCGAACGUAGAGGGUGAUAUUCCCGUACACGAAAGGGCACACAUAAUGAUGACGAGUAGGGCGAGGCACGUGAAACCUUGUCUGAAUAUGGGGGACCAUCCUCCAAGGCUAAAUACUCCUGACUGACCGAUAGUGAACCAGUACCGUGAGGGAAAGGCGAAAAGAACCCCUGUGAGGGGAGUGAAAUAGAUCCUGAAACCGCAUGCAUACAAGCAGUGGGAGCACCUUCGUGGUGUGACUGCGUACCUUUUGUAUAAUGGGUCAGCGACUUAUAUUCAGUAGCGAGGUUAACCGUAUAGGGGAGCCGUAGAGAAAUCGAGUCUUAAUAGGGCGUUUAGUUGCUGGGUAUAGACCCGAAACCAGGCGAUCUAUCCAUGAGCAGGUUGAAGGUUGGGUAACACUAACUGGAGGACCGAACCCACUGUCGUUGAAAAGCCAGGGGAUGACUUGUGGAUAGGGGUGAAAGGCUAAUCAAGCCUGGUGAUAGCUGGUUCUCCCCGAAAGCUAUUUAGGUAGCGCCUCGGACGAAUACCAUAGGGGGUAGAGCACUGUUUCGGCUAGGGGGUCAUCCCGACUUACCAAACCGAUGCAAACUCCGAAUACCUAUGAGUACUAUCCGGGAGACAGACUGCGGGUGCUAACGUCCGUAGUCAAGAGGAAAACAAUCCAGACCGCCAGCUAAGGCCCCAAAAUCAUAGUUAAGUGGGAAACGAUGUGGGAAGGCAUAGACAGCUAGGAGGUUGGCUUAGAAGCAGCCACCCUUUAAAGAAAGCGUAAUAGCUCACUAGUCGAGUCGGCCUGCGCGGAAGAUGUAACGGGGCUAAAACUAUGUGCCGAAGCUGCGGAUGUAUACUUUGUAUACGUGGUAGGGGAGCGUUCUGUAAGCCGAUGAAGGUGUGUUGAGAAGCAUGCUGGAGGUAUCAGAAGUGCGAAUGCUGACGUGAGUAACGACAAAACGGGUGAAAAACCCGUUCGCCGAAAGACCAAGGGUUCCAGUCCAACGUUAAUCGGGGCUGGGUGAGUCGACCCUAAGGCGAGGCCGAAAGGCGUAGUCGAUGGGAAAAUGGUUAAUAUUCCAUUACUUCUGUGUAAUGCGAUGAGAGGACGGAGAAGGCUAAAUCAGCCUGGCGUUGGUUGUCCAGGUGAAAGGAUGUAGGCAUGUAUCUUAGGCAAAUCCGGGGUACUCUAUGCUGAGAUCUGAUAGCAAGCUGUACUUGUACAGCGAAGUGGUUGAUGCCAUGCUUCCAGGAAAAGUCUCUAAGCUUCAGUUACACAGGAAUCGUACCCGAAACCGACACAGGUGGUCAGGUCGAGUAGACCAAGGCGCUUGAGAGAACUCUGCUGAAGGAACUAGGCAAAAUGGUACCGUAACUUCGGGAGAAGGUACGCUGUUGUUGGUGAUGGAACUCGCUUCCUGAGCUGACGACAGCCGCAGAAACCAGGCCGCUGCAACUGUUUAUUAAAAACAUAGCACUCUGCAAACACGAAAGUGGACGUAUAGGGUGUGAUGCCUGCCCGGUGCUGGAAGGUUAAUUGAUGGGGUUAGCGUAAGCGAAGCUCUUGAUCGAAGCCCCAGUAAACGGCGGCCGUAACUAUAACGGUCCUAAGGUAGCGAAAUUCCUUGUCGGGUAAGUUCCGACCUGCACGAAUGGCAUAAUGAUGGCGGCGCUGUCUCCAGCAGAGGCUCAGUGAAAUCGAAAUCGCUGUGAAGAUGCAGUGUACCCGCGGCUAGACGGAAAGACCCCGUGAACCUUUACUGCAGCUUGACACUGAACUUUGACCUUACUUGUGUAGGAUAGGUGGGAGGCUUUGAAGCUGGAACGCUAGUUCCAGUGGAGCCGUCCUUGAAAUACCACCCUGGUAAUGUUGAGGUUCUAACUCUGUCCCGUGAUCCGGGACGAGGACCGUGUCUGGUGGGUAGUUUGACUGGGGCGGUCUCCUCCUAAAGAGUAACGGAGGAGUACGAAGGUGCGCUCAGCGUGGUCGGAAAUCACGCGUAGAGUAUAAAGGCAAAAGCGCGCUUAACUGCGAGACCCACAAGUCGAGCAGGUACGAAAGUAGGUCUUAGUGAUCCGGUGGUUCUGUAUGGAAGGGCCAUCGCUCAACGGAUAAAAGGUACUCUGGGGAUAACAGGCUGAUACCGCCCAAGAGUUCAUAUCGACGGCGGUGUUUGGCACCUCGAUGUCGGCUCAUCUCAUCCUGGGGCUGAAGCAGGUCCCAAGGGUAUGGCUGUUCGCCAUUUAAAGAGGUACGCGAGCUGGGUUUAGAACGUCGUGAGACAGUUCGGUCCCUAUCUACCGUGGGCGCUGGAAAUUUGAGAGGAUCUGCUCCUAGUACGAGAGGACCAGAGUGGACGAACCUCUGGUGUACCGGUUGUGACGCCAGUCGCAUCGCCGGGUAGCUAUGUUCGGAAGGGAUAACCGCUGAAAGCAUCUAAGCGGGAAGCCUACCUCAAGAUAAGAUUUCCCUAGGACUUUAUGUCCUCUAAAGAGCCGUUCGAGACUAGGACGUUGAUAGGUUGGAUGUGGAAGCAUAGUGAUAUGUGAAGCUGACCAAUACUAAUUGCUCGUGAGGCUUGACUAU
rnacentral:rRNA from 1 species